rnacentral:rRNA from 1 species
GACGAACGCUGGCGGCGUGCUUAACACAUGCAAGUCGAACGGUGAAGCGGGUGCUUGCACUCGUGGAUCAGUGGCGAACGGGUGAGUAACACGUGAGUAACCUGCCCUCCACUCUGGGAUAAGCGCUGGAAACGGCGUCUAAUACUAGAUACGACCGACCCUCGCAUGGGGUGUUGGUGGAAAGAUUUAUCGGUGGUGGAUGGACUCGCGGCCUAUCAGCUUGUUGGUGGGGUAAUGGCCUACCAAGGCGACGACGGGUAGCCGGCCUGAGAGGGCGACCGGCCACACUGGGACUGAGACACGGCCCAGACUCCUACGGGAGGCAGCAGUGGGGAAUAUUGCACAAUGGGCGAAAGCCUGAUGCAGCGACGCCGCGUGAGGGAUGACGGCCUUCGGGUUGUAAACCUUUUUUCA